UUGACACCGACACUCGCGUGUCACCUAAUCGCCCCGUCUCUCACGAAUAUAAUAGCUAGGCGGAGCGGACAGAGCCAACCACGCGGGAGGCGGCGGCGACGGAGGGACUGAGGAAGAGAGCCGUGUCCGGCGGCCUGGAGCGUCCUGACGGCCGCAGCGGGGAUGGCCCAUGCCCGCCGAUCUGCUCGUCAACUACGACCUUCCUCCUCCAGGAAAACUCUAGGGCCUUUUCCCAAAUAGAUUGGAGAGUGCCGGGAAGGGCGGCGACCGCAACUACAACCUACGGCGGAGGAGAAACUAACCGCGAGCGACGGAGAACUGGCGGUGCUGCUCAUGCUCGACUCAGCGGUGCUCUCGGUGCACCACCGAUGGGUGAUGAUGCUUGAGCUAAGAACUCUGUGCUCAGAGCCACCGGUGGCGGCUGAGUAAGGGCACUGGUGCGGUGGAGGUACAUCUCCUCCCUUUAUUCAUCCCUCCCUCUCUCCCUGCCCCCUCCCUCUCUCUUCCCCAGUGGGAUCGCCGUGAGCCCGUGACCGUGGACCGGCCGGGUGGGACUCCAGCGGCGAGGAACGGAGAGCACCGGUGCUCUGUUGGCGAAUGCAUGUUGCGGGUACAGGGAGACCUUCGGCAAUGGGAAAUGGAUAGAGCUUUGGCAGAUAACCCUGUUCUCAUGUGAACAAAAUUUCAUCUCUCUUGAAUUUUUGUGUGCAAAUAGCAGAGGAACACCGCUGCUGACAGGAUUCUUAUGACUACCAGCAGAUCAACCCUUCUCAUGCGUUUGUUGCCAAGGAUAUGCAUGCAGCGAAGUGGAGGUUCCGCCAUUUUAAGAGGUGGGAUUAAUGUUGUUGUACUGCUUGAUUAGGAGUAUGCAACACUAUAUUUUGAUGUAUACUACAGUAUUAUUUUGUUGCUGGUAAACAUUAUUUCCAUCUAAUGUUUUAUUCAGAGGCAAAGAAAAUUAUGCUAACAAGGAGUUUAUUUUGUCGGUUUUUAAAUGGAGCACAAAUAUAAGACAUGUUCUUCAUCAACGAUAGGAAUUUUAAUAUGUAAAGGUCAGUAAAAAAGAAUGCACAUAAAAUGCUACUCUUUUUUUAGUUGGUAACAUUGUAUACAGAAUUUGAAUCUAAAUUAUUGGAAUUCAUUGUUCCAUAUUGGAAGUUCCUCAAGAGCUUGAAUAAUCCAAUUUGCGGUUCAAGAUAUACCCUAAUUUCUUUCUUUCUUUGGAUUCCGGUGGACAUGUCAUAGGUGUAGAUGGGCUUGACCAAGCCAUGAAAUCAACUUCAUUUAUGCACAAGUUUUUUAGUAGAUAUUUUGUCAACAUAUGAAUGGUGCUUGCUUCUUGCGUCCAAAGAUGAUUCACUCCUUUGUUGCUUCAAAUUAGGCUCGAACCAACCAUGCCUACAGUGAACACAUCAUAAUUAUGAGAUGAUUUUAUUGUGUUCAAUUGAUUUUCAUAAUAGGCUGUUUGGCAUUGUUGUUGCUAAUUUCUCUGACCCUGAUUUUUAUAGCAUGCCAUUUUACACCGUCGGCCUCGCGAACCAACCGUACCUACAGUAAGCACAUCGCUGUUAUUGGCUGAAUUUUUUUGUAUUCCAUUGAUUUUCAUAACAUGCUGUUAUUUUGCUAAUUUCUUUGACAUUGAUUUUCAUACCAUGUUGUUUCACACCGUCGGCCUCGCCAUACUCAGCCAGGUUGCCACGGGAAGGCGUCAGGAGUUCCAUACGAACGGGUUGACUAUGGGUGUGGGCAUGGGUACCUCAGAGAAGGGCUCCACUCUUUCAGACCUAAGUAUUCUUUACCUAAUAAAAGAUCCAUGCAUGCACUGCUAUAUAUUUGGUUUAACUCAUAUUACAAGUAUGCAUCUACAUAUGUUCCCAAACCAGUGAACCCCUUCCUGUGUGUGAAGAUUAUGCAUGCCUUUCACAUUGCCGCUGCCCAUUGCCCGUUGGUACCUGCCUCGGAUGGUUUCACCAUUGCCAAACCUAUUGUAGUCGUGCACAACAUACUUCACUGAAAUCUUCGUAGCUUUGUGGAAUUUUGCUGAAACCAAUGUUACUAUUUGAGCAUUGGGAGUGAAGUUAUUCUCUUCCUAUGAUGUACACGCUAGAGACGUUUGAUGAAAGGAAAUUCUAUCAUGAUCUUUUAUAGAGCUACAAAUGAAUCUUUACCAAAGUUUUUAUGUAGGCAAUUGUUUGCUCUGCUUGAAACUGUAAGGUCGGUAUUUUGAUUUGUUUUUUUCUUCUUAACUGCAGAUUUGUCACCAACUAUUACGUACAUAUAUUGUGUUA